rnacentral:lncRNA from 1 species
CCAUCCCAUACAGAGAUGCCCAGGCCUCAGCCAGGGCAGGAAGUGUUCCUGGGACCAGGGCCCUCCUCCUUGACCACCCCACCCCCAACAAGGACACCUUAUGGGGGCAGGGCAAUAUGUGACCACUCAGACCCUGCCCUUGCACAAGGGCCCACGUAGGAGGAAGGAGACCCAGCGUGUCCCCCAGGUGCUCCCAUUCCUCUCCUCCAUCCGCCCAGGGACACAAGCCAGACUGAUUCGUCCAUGUGCCCACUCUGGGCUGCGCCCCCUUCUGCUGCAACUGUAGGGAGCAGCCAACGCCAGCAAGAGACGAAAGCCGCAGUUGGCAGAGUUCACCCACCGCAGCCCCAACCUACAGCCCGACCCACCCAAAGGAGGAAGAAAUAAGAAGCGCUGUCACUAGGAGCCAGAGUCACUCACACCACAGCUUCCAUCCUCCGUGAUCUGGUCUGCACAAGCACUCCAUCCCGCAGUUAGUCCAGCCCUGCAAACGGAGCCCAAGUCAGGACGGACCCAACCUGGCCUUUCAGGACCCGGCCUCUGCAGGCUCCACAUUUCUUCUGAUGUGGCCACCCAUAGGCUGGUGCUGGAGUAGACUUCAAGGUGACCGCUCACCCCCCAGGAGGUGGAGCAAGGACCCUCCACCCUCAGCAUCCCCUCAGCCAGACCGGCACGUGGGCCUCUCACCCCCUGCCACCCUUACCCUGCUUCCUCCAUGGUCCCUCGUGGGGAAGGAGUGGCCCUGCACUUCCUGUUUGCCAUUACCUGAGCCCUCGCUACCUGGGGAGUGAUAAACUUUGUGAUCUCAUCAGCCAAGCCUGGACUUCCAUAUGCUACCGGAGGAUCUCUGUCAACAAUCCCCGUAUUUCCGCAAAGCCUGGACUUCCAUACCGUCAUCUCCAUAACGAGGUCAAAAAAGUCAGCUUGGAGUCCCGAGGAUGACCACUUCCCACCCCUUCCCUGUGGCAAUGUCUGAUGGCUCAUCCUCUGAGACGGCAGCUGCAAGAAAACGUGAUUGAAAGGGUGAUUUUAAAAAGGAAUCUGUUCAAAUAGUUAAGAUGGUAAAUUUUGCUAUGUGUUUUUACCACAAUUUAAAAAAAAGAAACCAGUUCAAAUUCAAUAUAUUUUGCCAGUUGGUUUCCCCCUCACGUCACCUAAACCCAUCUGCAGGGAAGAUGCGAAGCAGAGUGGGGGCACCAGUUAGCACCUAAGUAUUCUCUUCUCUUCAGGGUCACUCCUGUGGUGUUCCUGUUUUUCCUUCUUCAGGAUUCUCAGAGCUACUACUAUCUGCGUUCUCCUGAGGAGGGGAAGGGCGCUUCACUCUACCCAGCCUACUGGGAGAGGGCUUAAGAGUGGCCCUGUCCAUCUCAUGUGACCUUCUGGCCCCAGACCCCAAUAAAAUCCUCAAAUAUUCACCUUGCCACGGA